AACGAACGCUGGCGGCGUGCCUAACACAUGCAAGUCGAACGGAAUUAGAGAGCUUGCUCUUUAAUUUAGUGGCGCACGGGUGAGUAACGCGUAGAUAAUCUGCCUGACGAUCUGGGAUAACACUUCGAAAGAGGUGCUAAUACCGGAUAAGCCCACGGGUUCUUUGGAAUCUGCGGGAAAAGGGGGGGACCUUCGGGCCUUCUGUCGUCAGAUGAGUCUGCGUACCAUUAGCUAGUUGGUAGGGUAAAGGCCUACCAAGGCGACGAUGGUUGGCUGGUCGGAGAGGAUGAGCAGCCAAGCUGGAACUGGGACACGGUCCAGAAUCCUACGGGAGGCAGCAGUGGGGAAUUUUGCGCAAUGGGCGAAAGCCUGACGCAGCAACGCCGCGUGAGUGAUGAAGGCUUUCGGGUCGUAAAGCUCUGUCAAUGGGAAAGAAGUGUAUUUGGGCUAAUAUCCUUAAUACUUGACGGUACCCAUAAAGGAAGCACCGGCUAACUCCGUGCCAGCCGCCGCGGUAAAAC
rnacentral:rRNA from 1 species